UACGUAGGGAGCAAGCGUUGUCCGGAAUCAUUGGGCGUAAAGCGCGCGUAGGUGGCCUCAUAAGUCCGCUGUGAAAGUCAAAGGCUCAACCUUUGAAAGCCGGUGGAUACUGUGGGGCUAGAGUACGGAAGAGGCGAGUGGAAUUCCUGGUGUAGCGGUGAAAUGCGCAGAUAUCAGGAGGAACACCGGUGGCGAAGGCGGUUCUCUGGGCAUUACCUGACGCUGAGGAGCGAAAGUGUGGGGAGCGAACAGG
rnacentral:rRNA from 1 species